AGAAAAGAGAGCCUUCAAUGCCAGACACAAGAGUUCAGAGGUAAUGGGGUCCAUGGUCAAUUUUUGAGCAAGGGAAUUAAAUGAGAAGGUCAAAACUGUACUUGAAACUGAGUAUCAAUUGAAGAUUGAAUGCUGAAAUUAAUGAGGAGCUCUUUCCCAGAUAAGGAAGGCCAAGGUGUGAAUCUGGCUGCAGAGAAUGCCACAGACUGAGUGAUUUACACUUAAUGGAGGCCAGGAAGUUCAAUAUCAAGGUGGUGGCAUCUAGCAAGGGUCUUCAUGCUGCAUCAUCCCAUGAAGGUGAGAAGACUCAUAGUUCCAUCAAGCCAUCAACAACUAAGACCUGAAGUAGGAUCUGGCCUGCUUCAUAGGUUGUAGUUUCCAGUCUUUGGGAAACUAGCACAUAAACCUUAUCUUGGAAAGCAAAAGAAAAAAGCAAAUAAUUCACAAGAGCUCCAGACUAUUAAGAUAACACACCCCACCUGGUCACCAUCACAAGUUGUCAAGGCCAAGAUAGAGGCUGCCAAAAUUCCCUUCUGCAUCUCUGUUCAUCAACUGACAGCAUGUGUCACCUUCAGAUAUCCUUAUGCUUCCCCACAAGCUCUGGCUUCUUGGUGGCCUGACACAUCAAAUGGACAUAUGGAUUCUUCAUGGCUUUGCAGUAAAUGUUUUAUGGCUAUCUUGCAGCCAAGGGCAGCUGACAUGAAGAAGCAAGGGACUUGCAAAUAGCCUGAUGAAAGAAUUUCUGCACGUUUUUAAAAGAAGAGGAAUACAUGUUCUGCUUAGAGGAUUUUCACAGCUGCAAUAUGCUUAACUUCUUUAAUGCACCCACAAAUUGCAUUAGGUGAUAGAUUAUGCAGUUCAGUACCAUCCCAGGGACCUGGUCAUAUGCUUGGAUACAAUCCCCAAAAUGGACAAUGUUCACAGUUCAAU
rnacentral:lncRNA from 1 species